rnacentral:rRNA from 1 species
UACGUAGGGGGCAAGCGUUGUCCGGAAUCAUUGGGCGUAAAGCGCGUGUAGGCGGUUCGGUAAGUCGGCUGUGAAAGUCCAGGGCUCAACCCUGGGAUGCCGGUCGAUACUGCCGGACUAGAGUUCGGAAGAGGCGAGUGGAAUUCCCGGUGUAGCGGUGAAAUGCGCAGAUAUCAGGAGGAACACCAAUAGCGAAGGCAGCUCGCUGGGACGUUACUGACACUGAGGCGCGAAAGCGUGGGGAGCGAACAGG